CAAACACAAACAGGCAAGUCUCACAA
rnacentral:piRNA from 1 species